rnacentral:rRNA from 1 species
CAUGCAGUCGGACGGUAGCACAGAGAGCUUGCUCUUGGGUGACGAGUGGCGGACGGGUGAGUAAUGUCUGGGGAUCUGCCCGAUAGAGGGGGAUAACCACUGGAAACGGUGGCUAAUACCGCAUAACGUCGCAAGACCAAAGAGGGGGACCUUCGGGCCUCUCACUAUCGGAUGAACCCAGAUGGGAUUAGCUAGUAGGCGGGGUAAUGGGCCACCUAGGCGACGAUCCCUAGCUGGUCUGAGAGGAUGACCAGCCACACUGGAACUGAGACACGGUCCAGACUCCUACGGGAGGCAGCAGUGGGGAAUAUUGCACAAUGGGCGCAAGCCUGAUGCAGCCAUGCCGCGUGUAUGAAGAAAGCCUUCGGGUUGUAAAGUACUUUCAGCGGGGAGGAAGGCGAUGGGGUUAAUAACCCUGUCGAUUGACGUUACCCGCACAAAAAACACCGGCUAACUCCCUGCCAGCAGCCGCGGUAAUACAGAGGGUGCAAGCGUUAAUCGGAAUUACUGGGCGUAAAGCGCACGCACGCGGUCUGUUAAGUCAGAUGUGAAAUCCCCGGGCUUAACCUGGGAACUGCAUUUGAAACUGGCAGGCUUGAGUCUUGUAGAGGGGGGUAGAAUUCCAGGUGUAGCGCUGAAAUGCGUAUAGAUCUGGAGGAAUACCGGUGGCGAAGGCGGCCCCCUGGACAAAGACUGACACUCACGUGCGAAAGCGUGUGGA